GUGAAAGUAUCUAUUCACUGACAAAGCUAACAGGUGCCAACUAAUUAUAGUUUUCCUCUUCACUAAUAUCAUGGAGUUACUUGAAAGGAAAGAUUGAAGAAACAAUCUAGCUUUUAAGAGAAUCGUUUUGCUAAGAGUCAUCAGUUCAGGCCAAAGGAGAGAUGAACUUUUCAUAACUUAACAAGCCCCAGCCUUCAACACCACCGUUUACAACUUGGCAUUCAACAAAGAAAAUUCCAGAAAACUCUCUCAGAUAUUUUGUGUUCUACAAAUAUCAACUCUGGCAGGAAAUCUUCAAUCAGUGAUAAAAUGUAAGGGAUCUUCAAAAAUUUCAUGUAAAAUGCGUAUCUACUGACUGGACUUAGAUAAAUUUGUGAAAUCCAAAUGACUGUUAUUUCCAUUAGAUGUAGGGGUCCAAAUAAAAUCAGAUUUCAAAUUUCUUCA
rnacentral:lncRNA from 1 species